AUGUCGCCCGACGACGUGUCCCGGAAGUCGCCCGUGCCGCCGCCGUCCCCGCCGCCGAUGGACUCGUGGGCUCGGGGAGGGCGUCGCUCCAGGCGCCGUGGCAGCAGCGGCAGCGCCAGCUCUGGCGGCGGCGUCGAGUCCGAGGAGGAGUACCUGGCGCUCUCCCUCCUCAUGCUGUCCCGCGGCGUCCGCGGCGAGGUCGAGGACGGCGGCAUCGGAGGCGUCAAGGGCUUGGGAGCGGCGCCGACCAAGGCGCAGGGGUACGGGUGCUCCGUGUGCGGCAAGGUCUACGCGUCCUACCAAGCGCUAGGCGGCCACAAGACGAGCCACCGGAAGCCGCCCACGCCGCCAGCGGCGUCGGCGGGCGGCGACGAGGCGUCCGGCGGCGCCCCCGUGGAGGCCAAGGUGCACCAGUGCUCGCUCUGCCACCGCACGUUCCCGUCCGGGCAGGCGCUGGGCGGGCACAAGCGCCUGCACUACGAGGGCGGCGCCGCGGCCGACGGGACCGGCAAGGACAAGGAGGCCGCCAAGGCGAAGGCGGCGGCGCUGCUGAGGGACUUCGACCUGAACCUGCCGGCGUCAGGGGUGGCCGGGGACGAGGCCGAGAGCCCGCCCCCGGAGGCGAAGAGGGCGAGGCUGAUGCUACUAGCAGUCUGA
rnacentral:rRNA from 1 species